UUUGGACAUUGCAUCACUGGGCAUGGUUUCUUUCUUCCCGUGUUCCCUUUACCUCAGCCUUCUGCUGUGCCCUAAGGAGUGCAAUUUCUCUUUACGUUGUAAUGUUUCCUGGCGCUUUGUAGUGCUUCCUCUUUCAGUUCUUUUUGCAAACAAAGCCACAUCAUCUCUGUUUAUUUUUUGUGAUAGAUGCUCAAACUUCAACUGCCUUGUUUUUCCUGGAAGACUGGGGACACUGGGAAGCUGGCUAGUAGUGUUAACAGCAUCGAAGCAAAGCGAGUGGGAGAACUGAGGAGACUUUUUUUUUUAAAAAAAAAUUAUUUAGUCUGCUUAAAACUUUGUAUGCUGCCAAGAGCUUUAAAAUGACAACAAGUGACAGACAUCCAUACCUUUCAGUCAAAGUGUACCAGUCCUUCUGUGGAUGGUCAUCAGCAAAACUAAAGAAAGGCACAGCUGUUGUCCUGCUGGGAUGUUCUUCUACAAACUGGGUUUUGAGUAAAGUUACAGCACAUCUAAUGAACACAGGCUUAUUUUAAUAUUAUUAUUUUGAAAUCUUUUUCAUUAAACGAGUGAAAACUUCUGCAAAAUCCUUAAGUUGGAACGAGAUGGUUGUGUAUCUGUAUGUAGCAUUUCAUAGAAUCAUUCAGGUUGGGAAGGACCUCAAAGAUCAUCUUGUCCAACCUUUAACCUAGCACGAAAGACCACAACUAAACCAUGCUACUAAGUUCUAAAUCUGUGUUUCUUGAAGACCUCCAGGGGUGGUGACUCAAAAUUUAGUGUGCUGAUUUAAUGUAAAUUAGCUGAUGGUUUAAACUAAACUGGAAGUUCCUAUGUGCUCUUGCACCGCAUCAGCCAAACCUGUUUGUGAAAAAUAUUAACAUUUAAGAUGCAUCCAGCUGUAUACAGUUCCUUUAGUUUAAGCCUACAAUCAGAUGAUAAGGUUAAAUUAAUAAUAACAAUAAAAACAGCAGGCAAUGGAACUGUUGCUUUGUCCUGUGGAGGUGGUGAAAAUGAAACCCUUAUAAAAACAGAAAUGCACAUAUAAAAAGCAGAUGUAAGAUGAAGGGUGUUUAUUAAUAUAUGAGCUGAUACUUUGCACUGUACAGUGAUUCAAGAGAUUGUCCAAACUCUUAAAUAUUUGAAAAUUAAGCUGUGAUGCCUGCCUUUGAACUCGUUGUCAGAGUUUUAAAUAUUUAUUUUGGAACCACAGUAGUGUGAUAUAAAUUCAUCCUUCUUGAGAGUUACGCUAUUCCUAGAAUGACCUUGCCUUAAGAAUACCUAUAUUUUGUCUGUUAAUAUAUAUUACAGUCCUCUUGAUGACACAGUAGCUUGUGUCUGUAAGCAAAUAUAUGCAUGCAGCACUUACUGUCUGGGUUAGGUUCAGAACUGCUCAAAUCAGUGUUAGAGGACUUCAAGCACUGCUGCCUAAUUGGAGAUUUUUCCCGAAGUGAGGCUGAAUAAGAGGGCUUUGCUCUGAGAAGGGGCAGGGGUGGUGUUUCAUCUCUGCUGUCAGUGUGGUAUUUUGAUGUGGCAGUGUUGUGCCGCAAAGCUACCAGUUCAGCAGUUCGUUAGUGUGUUACUCAGUAAAUAUGCAAGCCUCUAAAUGAUCACUUCCAAUCCCUGCAACUUUAUUUUAGACACAGGUUCAAGAGGGAGGGAGUCACUGGUGGUUGAGCAGAGAGCAUUUGUGUAACAGGAGGUGGGAUUGGUGGGAGGGUUCUUAGCCUGAACCGAUUCUGCUGUUUUCUGGGAGUUUAACCCUAAAAUGUUCCAAUUUCGCUGUAUUUUUAGAGUGAGGCAUAACCUAUGUGCCCUCAAAAAGAUUUUCCAUAUUUCCUUAGUCAUGUAAUUUCCUCCUUUUAAGUAGAAGCCACAGCAGAUCGUAAAAUAAACUUUCCGUCAUGUAAAUAAUAGUGCUCCCAAGUUGUAGGUCUCAGCUCUGAUGCCAAUGGUUCUGUUUGAGACCAGCGGGAGGGACUUUUUAAUUGAAAUGGGGAGGCUGAGCACAGGCGCUGCCUCUCCUUCUUCCAUUUCCUUUUCUGCAGGUGGAAGAAAGAGACUCAGAAACCAAACCCUACCGUUUGUUCUCAGCUCUGCUACUAAUAUUCUCCAUGACCUUCAGCAAAUCUCUGCUCUUCUCCUUGCUGUAGCUCUUGAAAAAUAACACGAGGAAAUAAAACUACAUUUCCGGAUUGGCCUAGUAGUUAGGAAUAAUCCCAGGGCUACUAAACUGAAUGUGCCACCUUUGUUACAGGCUGGUCCCCCCAGCUUUAGGCUACUGCAAGUCAUGUAGCCAAAGUGAUGUUACUUCAUCUCUACCUGCAUCUAUGCAAAUAGGAGUUAACGAGUUGCUGUAUCUCGUGGCUGGCUUGUCGUGUGGAGGUCUCCAGAGGGAGGGUGAGGAGAGGCUGCCGUGAAAAGUCCCCAGCUGUUGCUAGGCUCCACAGCAUUGCUGUUUCCUCAUCCAAAAGUCUGUGCUCAGGUUUGGAGACAAAAGGGAAAACCAAGGGUUGGAAAACCCUACAAAGAUGCUUGGUUUACUGUCUGUAAAGCAUGGCUUUGCUAUGCUAGGUGCAGAGAGCGUGUGGCUACAAGUGAGGUGGAAGCAAUUUGAUUAGAUAGAAUAACACUCAAUAACUGGCCGCCUAUUUAUUCAUUCUCAGCUGCAGGAUCAUGUGGCUCGCUUGUUCUCUGUCCCUUCUGUUCCUCCUGCUGUUGUGUCUUUUUGACACUCUUGGACCUUUGCAGUGAUGCUGGAGGAGUGCAGCACAAGUGGUCUUGUCAUGCUUCCAGUUUAAGUGGAUGCAAGAGCACCUGUCUGUUCCAGAGGGCCUUCUCUGCUGAGGCUUGUGUUCCAUGUUUACAGCCUGCACAUGCAAGGAUGUCAUGUUUUGAUUUUACUCCCGAGUCCGUCAGGAGGCACACCAGAGAUCACGAUUAACUCACACAAAUUGUUAGGUAGGAUAUUGUGCUCCUGCUACACAAUGCAACCUCUUUGAGCCGUAGCAAAUAGCAUUAAGAUCCUUAUAUGAUUAAAGAUCCUCAUGACAGCAUCAGUGAAAAGAGCACCUCCAUUUUCUGCCAGAAGCGUAGAUCUUAGGAUACAGCUGAGCACUUGAAUUCCUCCUGGUGGAGUCUGGCAGCUUGUCAUCCACCCACGGCUAGUUCAAACUUUUCAGUCAGUCUUUGUCAUCUUCUCUAAAGGUAGCUGCACAGCUGUAAUUGCUGUCUCUGUUGUUCCUCCUUAUUUGUCUUAAUAAGAGGCCAGGGUGAACACAUUGAAGGUCUUGCUGCCUCUGUUAAUUUGUAGUUGGGGAAACUGUGUUUUGUGGCACCCUGAUGGAGUCCUCGGGAUCUGCGGAUGGGACCUGGGUAGGUUUUGGGCCCUGCUGGGUUGGACUGGGAGGUGUGUACUUCUCCCCUUCGGGCAGGGGAUCCUGUGGUGCUGCUGAGGCCUUGUGGAAUGCAGUGUCACAGCCUCGUUCCUCCGUCCAUCAGGGUUCAGCCAGUUUAGAAGAAAAGCUUACAGAGAGAACAAAACUUUGCAAGGCCUCACAACUCUUCAUAUUGCCCUUCCCAGCACCCUGUAGUUUGUCAGCCCCACCAGGUUCUUCGUGCUCCUUGGUCUUUCCACUGAGUG